UACGGAGGGGACUAGCGUUGUUCGGAAUUACUGGGCGUAAAGCGCACGUAGGCGGAUUUGUAAGUCAGGGGUGAAAUCCCGGGGCUCAACCUCGGAACUGCCUUUGAUACUGCGAGUCUCGAGUCCGAUAGAGGUGGGUGGAAUUCCUAGUGUAGAGGUGAAAUUCGUAGAUAUUAGGAAGAACACCGGUGGCGAAGGCGGCCCACUGGAUCGGUACUGACGCUGAGGUGCGAAAGCGUGGGGAGCAAACAGG
rnacentral:rRNA from 1 species